CGGGAUUUAGAGGAGCUUGCUUCUUUGGAUCUAGUGGCGAACGGGUGAGUAACGCGUGAGGAACCUGCCUCAGAGUGGGGGACAACAGUUGGAAACGACUGCUAAUACCGCAUAAGCCCACGAUUCCGCAUGGAAUUGAGGGGAAAGGAGCAAUCCGCUUUGAGAUGGCCUCGCGUCCGAUUAGCUGGUUGGUGAGGUAACGGCCCACCAAGGCGACGAUCGGUAGCCGGACUGAGAGGUUGAACGGCCACAUUGGGACUGAGACACGGCCCAGACUCCUACGGGAGGCAGCAGUGGGGAAUAUUGCACAAUGGGGGAAACCCUGAUGCAGCGACGCCGCGUGGAGGAAGAAGGUCUUCGGAUUGUAAACUCCUGUUGUUGGGGAAAAAUUCGGAUGGUACCCAACAAGGAAGUGACGGCUAACUACGUGCCAGCAGCCGCGGUAAAACGUAGGUCACAAGCGUUGUCCGG
rnacentral:rRNA from 1 species